AGUCUCCCUUGCAGUAAGGUGCAGCCAUGUGACUGAGUUCUAGCCAGUGAAAUGUGAGCAGAAGAGAUAUCUGUUAUUUCCAGGCCUGGCUCAUAAAAUGCACCCUACAUGUUCUCUUCCCUGCAACUUUCUUCCUUCAACUGAUUGUGGUGGAAACAACUAUGCAAACUUUGGAAGCCUCAUUUUGAGGGUGUCAGAACAUUCAUCAGAGAUAUAAAUAUUUUUCUGUAAGGUCGAGAACACAUUCAUCACAAUACAGGACCUGGGCACCAUUUGUAUUAAACUUGCACUUAGCCAUA